rnacentral:rRNA from 1 species
AACCUCCGCAAUGUGAGAAAUCGCGACGGGGGGAUCCCAAGUGCCAUUCUUAACGGGAUGGCUUUUCAUUAGUGUAAAGAGCUUUUGGAAUAAGAGCUGGGCAGGACCGGUGCCAGCCGCCGCGGUAACACCGGCAGCUCUAGUGGUAGCAAUUUUUAUUGGGCCUAAAGCGUCCGUAGCCGGUUUAAUAAGUCUCUGGUGGAAUCCUGCAGCUUAACUGUGGGAAUUGCUGGAGAUACUAUUAGACUUGAGAUCGGGAGAGGUUAGAGGUACUCCCAGGGUAGAGGUGAAAUUCUGUAAUCCUGGGAGGACCGCCUGUUGCGAAGGCGUCUAACUGGAACGAUUCUGACGGUGAGGGACGAAAGUUAGGGGCGCGAACCGGGAUUAGAUACCCGGGUAGUCCUAACUGUAAACGAUGCGGACUUGGUGUUGGGGUGGCUUUGAGCUGCUCCAGUGCCGAAGGAAGCUGUUAAGUCCGCCGCCUGGGAAGUACGGUGCAAGACUGAAACUUAAAGGAAUU